rnacentral:lncRNA from 1 species
AUUCGCGGCACAUUUUGAAUUUAUCAAUAGAGUUAAUCAUAAAACCACAAGCAUUAGACAAGAUUUCUUGUUAUCAGUGUAAUGGCACUAAAAGGGAGGCUGGUCGCGCGUGGGUGGGAAGUUUUUCAAGUUUUUUAAAAAAAUAGUUUUUAAAAAAGUUUUAAAAAGUUUGAAAAGAGUUUUGAAAAGUAAGAAAAGUUCAAAAAGUUAGAUUUUUAAAAAAGUUAAAAAAAUUUAAAAAGUUAAAAAAGGGUUAGUGAUUCGGACGUGUUUAAGAAUUUACUCAUAUAGUAAAUUCAAAGGUGGAGCUCAUGCUGCAAUGUUAUACGAGAUAAAGUGAGGGAGUAUUCACCGUGGUUUGUGACCAGCUUUCAGGAGCUUCUAGAUGAACUUAAAGUCUCGAAUUGAACAUUUUAUAAGAUCAGAGUUUAUUGAAAAUUUUCUUAGCCAUAUUUCUGUCAAGAGUGUUGUAGGUGGUGUUUGUGGGUUUUGAAUUUUAAUGUGUUGGUUGGCUGUUACAGAUUAAUUUAAUAUGAGAGAGAAAAUGUUGUUCAAGGAGAAAAGAUGCCUUUAUAAAGAUAUUUCCUUUAAGAUAUUUUAUAAAGUAUGUCUCGUAUGUGGAAAAUGAUACUAUAUCUUAUGUACAGUAUAGUUAUUUAUUAGUUUGAGAAUUGAAUUCAAUAAUUUUAUCGAAUUGAGAAUUAUAUACAUUGUACAGNNNNNNNNNNNNNNNNNNNNAGCCCCUUUUAAUUGGGGGGGGGGGGUGUCUGGUAGAAUUGCCCUGCAAAAGCCGAUGAUGCCUUGCAGCAAAAAAAAUUCGAAAAAAAAUUUUCCGGGCAUUUAAAAAAGAGGUGAACAAAAUUUUCCGGACAUAAACAAAUUAAAUUAAGGCUCAAAUGAUGCUCGUUGUUUUGACAUUGAACUGGGUUAUGCAAAAUCUUCAAGCAUAUUUUGCAGGAAAAAUUAUCCAUGAAUGAAGAGCCGAGUUCGUUGUUGUUUUCAGCCAUGAUGGCAUAUUUGCGAAUGAACGAGGAUUCGAGGAAGUACGCGUUUCAUAUAGGGUUUGUCACGGGGUUUGCUAAAUUCGGAGCUAUUGGUUGGCUAAAGUAUUGUCUGUGACCUGACGACCUCAAAUGCGAAGCUUCAUCAUUGAACUAUAAAUAAACUGGAUUGAACGUGCCGAAAAAAACUUCGCACUUUGACUCCUGAAAAAAGAACUUUAUAACUGCUCUACGUUCUGGAAACAUAUGUUUUGUAUUAAAUUUCAGGUAUUGUUGAAAGUUUUUAGCUUUUUUCCUUAUUGAAAUACAGCUAUUUAGUGGUCGAAAACAGACAUCUUUUAGGCGGCGUAUUUUCCACUCCAUACCUACAUGGCGGCCAUCAUGAGUGGCUUCAAAGAUGGCCGCCAAGUUAUCGUUCCAGUUCUCUUAGAGUUCACAGUGGAGUUCACUGAGCUACAUCGAGUACUUCUAACCCGCGAACAGGCUGGGUAGAAGGCAACACAACUUACACAAGCAGUAUGAGAUUAUCUGAUCAUACAAGAUGUAAUGUUUCAAAUCCGAAAAUAAAGACAGGACAUUCAGCUAACUGCGAGGACUCUAAAUCCCGUCCAGUUCAAAUUUUGUUUUGAAAUGAUGUCACACUCUUAUGAGUGUUUUGUAUUUUCAUCCGCUUUUGUGUGUAUGCGUGUUUGUCUGUCAGCAGAAU